CCUACGGGUGGCAGCAGUGAGGAAUAUUGGUCAAUGGCCGGGAGGCUGAACCAGCCAAGUCGCGUGAGGGAAGACGGCCCUACGGGUUGUAAACCUCUUUUGUCAGGGAGCAAGGUGCAGGUCGGGACCUGCUGUGAGAGUACCUGAAGAAAAAGCAUCGGCUAACUCCGUGCCAGCAGCCGCGGUACUACGGAGGAUGCGAGCGUUAUCCGGCUUUAUUGGGGUUAAAGGGUGCGCAGGGGGCGGCACAAGUCAGCGGUAAAAUCGCGGGGCUCAACCCCGCUCCGCCGUUGAAACUGUGUGCCUUGAGUGCGGGAAGGGUAGGCGGAAUGCGUGGUGUAGCGGUGAAAUGCAUAGAUAUCACGCAGAACUCCGAUCGCGAAGGCAGCCUACCGGCGCGCAACUGACGCUGAUGCACGAAAGCGUGGGUAUCGAACAGGAUUAGAUACCCGGGUAGUC
rnacentral:rRNA from 1 species